AUUGAACGCUGGCGGCAGGCCUAACACAUGCAAGUCGAGCGCGUGGCGGACGGGUUAGUAAUGUCCGGGACACUGCCCGAUGGAGGGGGAUAACAACUGGUAACGGUAGCUAAUACCGCAUACCAUCGGAUGUGCCCAGAUGGGAUUAGCUAGUAGGUGGGGUAAUGGCUCACCUAGGCGACGAUCCCUAGCUGGUCUGAGAGGAUGACCCGCCGCACGGGAAAUGAGACGCAAGCCACAAUCCUACGAAACGCCGCAAGGGGGAAGAGUUCACAAUGGAGGCGAUUCUUAUGCAUCCAAGGCGAGGGUAUUAAGAAAGCCUUGGGGUUGUAAAGUACUUUCAUCGGGGAGUCGUUGCCCGCAGAAGAAGCACCGGCUAACUCCGUGCCAGCAGCCGCGGUAAUUC
rnacentral:rRNA from 1 species